rnacentral:lncRNA from 1 species
CUGGUGUCCCCUCCAUGAUAUUGCUUGAAUAUUGCUAAAAGCGGCGUAAAACCAUACUCACUCACUCACUCACUCAACUAGAUGAUAGCUCACCUGGACAGCUGUUUUCCUCCUGACAGUCCGCUAGGUGAAAGCUCAACUGAAUCACAUGAUUCUCAGAUGUAGUCCUCCUGAAUGUCUCCUAGAUGAUAGCUCACCUGGACAAUUUUCGUGACUGUCUGUUCACUGACAGCUCACCUGUUUCAUGUGUUUUCUGUUAGGUGAUAUCUCACCUGGAUCACAUAUGGUUCUCCCGAAUGUCUACUAGAUGAUAACUCACCUGCACAAAUGUUGUCCUUACUGUACAUGUCUGUGAGGCGAUAGCUCACCUGUGUCAUGUGUUGUCUUCCUGACAGUCUGCUAGGUGAUAGCUCACCUGUGUCAUGUGUUAUCUUCCUGACAGUCAACUAGGUGAUAGCUCACCUGGAUAAUUGUUGUCCUCCUCUCUGUCGACUAGGUGAUAGCUCACCUGUAUCAUGUGUUAUCUUCCUGACGAUUUGCUAUGUGAUAGCUCACCUGGAUAAUUGUUGUCCAACUGACUGUCUACUAGGUGAUAUCUCACCUGAAUAACUGUUGUCUUCCUGACUGUGGACUAGGUGAUAGCUCACCUGUGUCAUGUGUUAUCUUCCUGACAGUCAACUAGAUGAUCGCUCACCUGGAUAAUUGUUGUCCUCCUGUCUGUCGACAAGGUGAUAGCUCACCUGUGUCAUGUGUUAUCUUCCUAAAAGAGUACUGGAUGAGAGCUCACCUGGAUAAUUAUUGUCCUCCUGACUGUCGACUAGGUGAUAGCUCACCUAUAUCACAUGUGGUUCACCAGAGUGUCUCCAAGAUGAUAGUUCAUCUGGACUGUUUUGUCCUCCUGACUGUCUGCACAUUGUAAGGUCAUCCGCACAAUGGGUUGUAUUGGCAGUCAACCAGAUGAUAGCUCACCUUGUCAAUGUGGUACUCAACUUAACAUGUUUUGGCACUUUAUAGAAUCAUGCAUAUAUAUGUUGUUCAAUUAUAGCAUCUAUAUACUGAUUUAUAUACUAGUAGUCUGUGAAGGAACUAUUUACAAAUGGCUUUUAUACAUUCAUAUAUGUGAUUGUACAUAAUAUUUACAAAUUUAUACUUUGAAAGAAAUGUUUUCCAAAUAAAAGCCUUUAUUAAAUAA